UAAUUGAGCCUCAAUACCCUAAAGGCACAAAGUCCUGUCUGAUCUUGGAAACUAAGCAGGGCCAGCCCUGCUUAGUUCUUGAAUGGGAGACCACCAAGGAAUACCAGAUGCUGAGGACU
rnacentral:rRNA from 1 species